AGAGUUUGAUCAUGGCUCAGAACGAACGCUGGCGGCGUGCUUAACACAUGCAAGUCGAGUGCGCGUUUCUGUAGCAAUACAGGAAUGGCGCACGGCGCACGGGUGCGUAACACGUGGGUAAUCUGCCCUCUGAUGGGGAAUAACCCGCCGAAAGGCGGGCUAAUUCCGCAUAACAUUCCUUGGACUCCGGUUCGAGGAUUCAAAGGCGUAAGUCGUCGGAGGUGGAGCCCGCGCACGAUUAGCUAGUUGGUAGGGUAACGGCCUACCAAGGCUUUGAUCGUUAGCUGGUCUGAGAGGAUGGCCAGCCACACUGGAACUGAGACACGGUCCAGACUCCUACGGGAGGCAGCAGUGGGGAAUCUUGCACAAUGGGCGAAAGCCUGAUGCAGCGACGCCGCGUGGGGGAUGAAGCUUCUCGGAGUGUAAACCCCUUUCGACCCGGACGAAUGCCCCGCAAGGGGAGUGACGGUACGGGUAUAAGAAGCCCCGGCUAACUACGUGCCAGCAGCCGCGGUAAGACGUAGGGGGCCAGCGUUGUUCGGAAUUACUGGGUGUAAAGGGUUCGUAGGCGGUGUGGCAAGUCGGGAGUGAAAUCUCUGGGCUCAACUCAGAGGCUGCUUCCGAAACUGCUGUGCUUGAGUGUGGGAGAGGCGCGUGGAAUUGCAGGUGUAGCGGUGAAAUGCGUAGAUAUCUGCAGGAACACCCGUGGCGAAAGCGGCGCGCUGGACCACUACUGACGCUGAGAACGAAAGCUAGGGGAGCAAACAGGAUUAGAUACCCUGGUAGUCCUAGCCCUAAACGAUCAGGACUUGGGGUGCCACCCGUUCGGGUGUCGUCCCGGAGCUAACGCGUUAAGUCCUGCACCUGGGGAGUACGGUCGCAAGACUGAAACUCAAGGAAUUGACGGGGCCCCGCACAAGCGGUGGAACAUGUGGUUCAUUUCGACGCUAC
rnacentral:rRNA from 1 species